CGGGACAACAUUCCGAAAGGGAUGCUAAUACCGGAUGUGACGCUCCUAUCGCAUGACGGGAGCGUGAAAGAUGGCCUCUACAUGUAAGCUAUCGCUAAAGGAUGGGCCUGCGUCUGAUUAGCUAGUUGGUAGUGUAACGGACAACCAAGGCGAUGAUCAGUAGCCGGUCUGAGAGGAUGAACGGCCACAUUGGGACUGAGACACGGCCCAG
rnacentral:rRNA from 1 species